UACAGAGGUGGCAAGCGUUGUUCGGAAUUACUGGGCGUAAAGGGCGCGUAGGCGGCCUUCUAAGUCAGACGUGAAAUCCCCAGGCUUAACUUGGGAACUGCGUCUGAUACUGGGAGGCUUGAGUGCGGGAGAGGGAUGUGGAAUUCCAGGUGUAGCGGUGAAAUGCGAGAUAUCUGGAGGAACACCGGUGGCGAAGGCGGCAUCCUGGACCGACACUGACGCUGAGGCGCGAAAGCUAGGGGAGCAAACGGG
rnacentral:rRNA from 1 species